rnacentral:misc_RNA from 1 species
UUCGUGGUGCAGCCUUUGCAAUGUGAACUGCAAGAACCCCGGAAACCUGCAGAAACACUUAAAUGGAAAAGCACACAAGGCGAAUUCGCCACUGAAAGAUACUCUCGCAUGGUGCAGCCUCUGCAAUGUAAACUGCAAGAAUCCCGGGAAUCUGAAGAGGCACUUGCAAGGGAAGCCACACAAGGCUAAGUGGGGCGAUGAUUCUCCGCAGAUCGUACACAAGGUGAGGUCGGAUGAGAGCCGAACACUUGACAGCCGG